AACCAGGUAUCUGAAUUUGAGGUGAUCGUUUUCUUGCUUACUUCUGAAUCCCGGUAUCUGAUUUUGAGAAGGAGUUGUGCAAGAUGUCAACAUUAUUGCGAAGAUGAAAAACUUCUACCGAAGGCUAAAAGCUUUAUAGUUUUGGGAUUCACCGGAUGGCUUCCAUGAAACAUCAUCUUUUCUUGAGAGCAUGGAGUGGCGACGGUUAUAGCAGGAGCAGGGCAGCCACAGCUUCUCCUUAUUACAAAAACUUUCAGAAACGAAGGGAAGA